rnacentral:rRNA from 1 species
AGUGAACGCUGGCGGUAGGCCUAACACAUGCAAGUCGAACGGCAGCACAGGAGAGCUUGCUCUCUGGGUGGCGAGUGGCGGACGGGUGAGGAAUACAUCGGAAUCUACUCUGUCGUGGGGGAUAACGUAGGGAAACUUACGCUAAUACCGCAUACGACCUACGGGUGAAAGCAGGGGACCUUCGGGCCUUGCGCGAUUGAAUGAGCCGAUGUCGGAUUAGCUAGUUGGCGGGGUAAAGGCCCACCAAGGCGACGAUCCGUAGCUGGUCUGAGAGGAUGAGCAGCAACACUGGAACUGGGACACGGUCCAGACUCCUACGGGAGGCAGCAGUGGGGAAUAUUGGACAAUGGGCGCAAGCCUGAUCCAGCCAUACCGCGUGGGUGAAGAAGGCCUUCGGGUUGUAAAGCCCUUUUGUUGGGAAAGAAAUCCAGCUGGCUAAUACCCGGUUGGGAUGACGGUACCCAAAGAAUAAGCACCGGCUAACUUCGUGCCAGCCGCCGCAGUAA